UACGUAGGGACCAAGCGUUGUCCGGAAUUAUUGGGCGUAAAGAGCUCGUAGGCGGCUGUCCACGUCGGAUGUGAAAGCUCGGGGCUCAACCCUGAGAGGCCAUUCGAUACGGGAUAGCUAGAGGUAGGUAGGGGAGAUUGGAAUUCCUGGUGUAGCGGUGAAAUGCGCAGAUAUCAGGAGGAACACCGGUGGCGAAGGCGGUUCUCUGGGCCUGUACUGACGCUGAGGAACGAAAGCGUGGGGAGCGAACAGG
rnacentral:rRNA from 1 species